rnacentral:rRNA from 1 species
GACGAACGCUGGCGGUGUGCUUAACACAUGCAAGUCGAACGGUAAGGCCCUUUCGGGGGUACACGAGUGGCGAACGGGUGAGUAACACGUGAGUAACCUGCCCUCAUCUCUGGGAUAACAGUCGGAAACGGUUGCUAAUACUGGAUAUGAGCUUGCAAGGCAUCUUGUGGGUUGGAAAGAUUUUUUUUGGUUGGGGAUGGACUCGCGGCCUAUCAGCUUGUUGGUGAGGUAGUGGCUCACCAAGGCUUCGACGGGUAGCCGGCCUGAGAGGGCGGCCAGCCACAUUGGGACUGAGAUACGGCCCAAACUCCUACGGGAGGCAGCAGUGGGGAAUAUUGCACAAUGGACGGAAGUCUGAUGCAGCAACGCCGCGUGCGGGAUGACGGCCUUCGGGUUGUAAACCGCUUUCAAUUGUGACGAAGCUUUUUUGUGACGGUAGCAGUAGAAGAAGCACCGGCUAACUACGUG